AUUGAACGCUGGCGGAAUGCUUUACACAUGCAAGUCGAACGGCAGCACGGGGGCGAACCCUGGUGGCGAGUGGCGAACGGGUGAGUAAUACAUCGGAACGUGCCCAGUCGUGGGGGAGUAACUACGCGAAAGACGUAGCUAAUACCGCAUACGAUCUACGGAUGAAAGCGGGGACCGCAAGGCCUCGCGCGAUUGGAGCGGCCGAUGGCAGAUUAGGUAGUUGGUGGGGUAAAGGCUCACCAAGCCGACGAUCUGUAGCUGGUCUGAGAGGAC
rnacentral:rRNA from 1 species